rnacentral:rRNA from 1 species
GACGAACGCUGGCGGCGUGCUUAACACAUGCAAGUCGAACGAAGUGGCGAACGGGUGAGUAACGCGUAAUCAACCUGCCCUUCAGAGGGGGACAACAGUUGGAAACGACUGCUAAUACCGCAUACGGAAGGAGGGGAUUGCGUCUGAUUAGCUAGUUGGAGGGGUAAUGGCCCAGCAAGGUGAUGAUCAGUAGCCGGUCUGAGAGGAUGACCAGCCACAGUGGGACUGAGACACGGCCCAGAGGCCUUCAGGAGGCAGCGGUAGGGAGUCUUCCGCAAUGGACGAAAGUCUGACGGAGCAACGCCGCGUGAGUGAUGACGGCCUUCGAGUUGUAAAGCUCUGUUAGUCGGGACGCGGUACCGGAAUAGAAAGCCACGGCUAACUACGUGCCAGCAGCCGCGGUAAUAC